UAAAUUUCAUCCACACCCGUACUCACAUAAUUAAAAUCAGUUCCUCCUCUGCCCUCGAGAAGAAACCUAAUCGACUGACCGAUCGACAUCCUCAAAAUCAAAACAUUCAAUUAGGAAUUCCAAACUUCUUCAACGGCUAGAGAAAUCAAGAGACCUGUUUUCCGUUAUAGAUUUACGCCUAUGUAUGAGCUAUUAUCACUGCCGUUCACGGAGGGAGAGAGAGAGACGCUCAGAUGCCAGACAAAACACCGGCCGUUGCACGCCUGCACCCCGCUCCGCCGGUCGCCGCUGCACCGGCAACUUGUAGAAAUUAACUUUCGAGGUAAUAGCUUUCAUCAACCAACUAAAAUUUGGGGACUUUCUUGAUGACAAUAGUGAAUCCCGGUAGGGUUCCGAUCACCCCUGUUUCUCCUUGGCUUCUUCCCUCUUUCUGACGAUGGCAAGAACAUAACAUCAACAACAAUCAUCAAGUUAAAUUAUGUAAUGAUUCCUUGAAUAAAACAAUGGUUGAACCUCGACGGCGUUGUCUUUAUUCGCCAGCAGUGGACCUAAGGAAAAAGGGGGUUGGGGUGUAAACCAUGUCACAAGCAGGUGUGCUUAACUCGAUAAGGGGCGUUAUUACGUUUCAAUAGGGAGUUUUGGGUUCAACCGCGGUGUUAUAUUUAUCGUCCACUGUGUUAGCAGGUGUGCUUAACUCGAUAAGGGUACCACUCACAAGCAUUGCAGCUGUUAUACUUUUGAAUGAUCCUAUGAGAGGUUUCAAGACUUUAUCGCUUAUUGUUACUUUCUGGGGAUUCGCGUGCUAUAUAUACGCCUUCGGUUGUUUAACCAACUUGACAUUUUGUUUUGUCCAAGAUGUUAUCAUCUUUGCUGGUUAUGUUAAUACUUGGCAGAGAAAGCUGUGAACUUCUUAGUGAAUUGUGCCUGUGAUGCAAAGCUUCAGAUGUUAAGAGGUCAAUUGUUCUUUCAAUUAAUGGUGCACAAAUCUGUAAGUGGUAUUAACUUCAAGUCUAUGCUACAGCCAGAACACUUGGAGAUUUCACAGUCACAAUGGUUAAUUGAACUGGUGGCUUUAUAUUUGAGCUUCAAUGAAUCAAACCAUAUCUUGUGAUCUCACCAUUGCAGAUCCAGAACGUGUAUUGAGAUUAGUGCUUCCAGGUUAUGCAAAUUUGGAAUACAAUCUCACUUGUCCGAUUUGUUUGGUACGUCUUAUUAUAAUUCCGAUUUUUCAUAUAAUCUUGUAAACUAAAUGCAUAUAUCUUUUCCAUGAAUUUUGCUCGCCGAGUCUAUUAUAUGAUUGAUCAUAUUUGGUUUGAA